UUUAUAUAUAUACAUACAUUCAUAUAUAUAUAUAUAUAUAUAUAUAUAUAUAUAUAUAUGUAUUGUUUAUUCUUUAAGAUUUGUAGCUUCGCCCCAAAUUCUAUGAUGUGUGGUCAAAUUUAGCUAGUGCAUAUAUGAGGAAAGGAAGACUUAAUGAGGUAGCCUAGUGUUGUCGCCAGGCUCUUGCAUUGAACCCUCACUUGGUUGAUGCUCAUAGCAACCUUGGUAAUCUAAUGAAGGCACAAGGCUUAGUACAAGAAGUAAGUCACAGUGGAUUUGAUACAUUAUUUUCAUUGGAUGUUCUUUAAGACUCAAAGUAGAAUUUGAGAACCAUGAUCCAUGACUGGACUACACUGGGUUGAGCAGUUGUUCUAGUAAUGGUGUGUCUUAAUUGUUCUAAUAAGCUGUUUUGAAACUAUUUCAUGAUUUCCUUUGAUUGAAUGAAGGACUGUAAUUGUAAUUGUAAUUGAUUCAUUAUUGAAUGAAUGAAUGAUUGUAAUUGAAUGAA